CUGAUCCGCAUGCCGCGUGUGUGAAAAGGCCUUCGGGUUGUAAAGCACUUUUGUCCGGAAAGAAAACCUCGUGGUUAAUACCCGUGGGGGAUGACGGUACCGGAAGAAUAAGCACCGGCUAACUACGUGCCAGCAGCCGCGGUAAUACGUAGGGUGCAAGCGUUAAUCGGAAUUACUGGGCGUAAAGCGUGCGCAGGCGGUUCGCUAAGACAGAUGUGAAAUCCCCGGGCUUAACCUGGGAACUGCAUUUGUGACUGGCGGGCUAGAGUAUGGCAGAGGGGGGUAGAAUUCCACGUGUAGCAGUGAAAUGCGUAGAGAUGUGGAGGAAUACCGAUGGCGAAGGCAGCCCCCUGGGCCAAUACUGACGCUCAUGCACGAAAGCGUGGGGAGCAAACA
rnacentral:rRNA from 1 species